rnacentral:rRNA from 1 species
CAGUCGCCGCGGUAAUACGAAGGGGGCUAGCGUUGCUCGGAAUGACUGGGCGUAAAGGGCGCGUAGGCGGUUUUCCAAGUUAGAUGUGAAAUUCCUGGGCUCAACCUGGGGGCUGCAUUUGAUACUGGGAGGCUUGAGUAUGGAAGAGGGUCGUGGAAUUCCCAGUGUAGAGGUGAAAUUCGUAGAUAUUGGGAAGAACACCGGUGGCGAAGGCGGCGACCUGGUCCAUAACUGACGCUGAGGCGCGAAAGCGUGGGGAGCAAACAGGAUUAGAGACCCCGGUAGUCCCUGUCUCUUAUAC